CCCAAGAAGUCAAAGGGCCGGGUCGUUACAAUGUAUAAUUUUUGUUCUUGUUCUUGUCUUGAUGUGUGUAGGUAUAUACUGUUGAAGAACAAGUAAGGGCUGCCGUAUCACACAAACUCAGUGUUGCUAAUCAGAGUAUCACUGCAGGAUUCUUUGACAAUAACAAAGGUAUGUAACUCAGGGGCAAUUCAUGAGGAUUGGGAUUUUUGAUACAAGGAGUGAGCUUUGUUUAGUUUCUAGAUUGCCUUGCUAAUGCGAAGAAGCUAUAUGGCGAACAUCGUAAUAGAAAACAUGUGAUUUAUGGUUUGAUACUACUAAGUUUGAUGAGUACAACUCUUUUUGUAUAUUUUAGUUGGCAUAUUUUGGAUUUCGAUUGCACAGCUA